GUCUGAAUAGCUCAGUGGUAAGAGCAGUCGCCCGGCAAGCGAAAGACUCGGGUUCGAUUCCCGAUUCAGCG
rfam:Lasius niger Lnig_2.1_14919, whole genome shotgun sequence.